AAUAGAACCCCGGUAGUCCACGCCGUAAACGAUGAGUGCUAAGUGUUGGGGGGUUUCCGCCCCUCAGUGCUGCAGCUAACGCAUUAAGCACUCCGCCUGGGGAGUACGGCCGCAAGGCUGAAACUCAAAGGAAUUGACGGGGGCCCGCACAAGCGGUGGAGCAUGUGGUUUAAUUCGAAGCAACGCGAAGAACCUUACCAGGUCUUGACAUCCCGCUGCCCGGUAUAGUGGUAUACCUUUCCCUUCGGGGACAGCGGUGACAGGUGGUGCAUGGUUGUCGUCAGCUCGUGUCGUGAGAUGUUGGGUUAAGUCCCGCAACGAGCGCAACCCUUGAUCUUAGUUGCCAGCAUUUAGUUGGGCACUCUAAGGUGACUGCCGGUGACAAACCGGAGGAAGGUGGGGAUGACGUCAAAUCAUCAUGCCCCUUAUGACCUGGGCUACACACGUGCUACAAUGGAUGGUACAAAGGGCUGCAAGACCGCGAGGUUUAGCCAAUCCCAUAAAACCAUUCUCAGUUCGGAUUGCAGG
rnacentral:rRNA from 1 species